rnacentral:misc_RNA from 1 species
UCCUAGCCCCGAACGCAGCAUUUGUUUGAGCUCAUUUUUCAGUUUUCGGCGGCGGCUUUGCCGCCGCCGAAAACUGAAAAAUGAGCGAGUGCGGAGAGCGGGAAAAGCU